GGCCCCGUAGCUCAGCUGGUAUAGCGUGCGCGUACAAAGCGUGGGUUCGAAUCCCAACGAGGCUA
rnacentral:tRNA from 1 species